AUGCCUUAAACUUAUGAGUAAGGAAAAUAAUGACUCAGGGUGAUGCCCAAAUUCUCACUAAUGUGAGAUGAAUUUUUGAACCACUAAAGGACAUUCCUAAGGUGAAUAGCCAACUACUUUGUGAGGUACCCAUCGCCCCUAAAAAUAUUAGGGG